AUUGAACGCUGGCGGCAGGCCUAACACAUGCAAGUCGAGCGAGCGGCGGAAGGGUGAGUAAUGUCUGGGAAACAGCCUGAUGGAGGGGGAUAACUACUGGAAAAGGUAGCUAAUACCGAAUAUCAUCAGACGUGCCAAGAUGGGAGUAGCUAGUAGGGGGGGUAACGGCUCACCUAGGCGACGAUCCCUAGCUGGUCUGAGAGGAUGACCAGCCACACUGGAACUGAGACACGGUCCAGACUCCUACGGGAGGCAGCAGUGGGGAAUAUUGCACAAUGGGCGCAAGCCUGAUGCAGCCAUGCCGCGUGUGUGAAGAAGGCCUUCGGGUUGUAAAGCACUUUCAGCGGGGAGGCGUUACCCGCAGAAGAAGCACCGGCUAACUCCGUGCCAGCAGCCGCGGUAAUAC
rnacentral:rRNA from 1 species